AACCAUCAAAACGUGAAAAAUCUAGCUUUACAUUUCUGACCUAAAAUGGUUCAGGGACAUUGCGUGAGUUCGCUCCUCCAUGUGCCAUAUUCUCCUUCAAGUCCUCAAUGGCAUUACGUAGCUCUUGCAUCUCUGCUGCAUGCUCACGUUCACGUUUCUGCAUAAGCUCCAGGAUCUACUUGAGGUCGUUUGAAGACGAAGCAUCGACCAUGGCAAUGAAAGCACCAAUUUGUAAUAUACUCAAUGCAACGGUAAUAUAAACAGAGAAGGUACCAAAAAUGGC
rnacentral:lncRNA from 1 species